rnacentral:misc_RNA from 1 species
UCUUCUACUUUGCAGGGAGAGGCAAGACUGGUAUGGGUGUUUCAUCAGCAAUCAUGGAAUCAGAUUCUUCAAUAUUAAUUUCAGCCCUUCAUUCUCUGAUUCAGAAGUUGAUUGGAGUAUCAAAGCACUGAUCAUUUCAAUACAAGACCUAGCAACUUCCUUCAGAUCUGUUACUCUUUCGCAGGUAAAGCGAACGGCAAAUAGAAUGACUGAUUGUCUAGUAAAAUUGUACUUGAAGGAUAAACUCAAGUGUAAUUGACUUGCAACUAUUCCUUCAGAGUUGCAAACUCUGAGGCUUCAAGAUGGCGCUCAAGCCUUUUAAUGCAAAGUUUCAAAGCAUUUUUGAAAAACAGGGAGGAGGAAUGAGGACCGUG